rnacentral:lncRNA from 1 species
AUGAAUGUGUAUAUGAUUAUAAGUAAAACGAAGUGUGUGUAUAAACGUAAAACGUAUGAGUUUUGAAUCAUGAGUAUAACAUAAAUGCGUAAGUGUGAACAUAAGUGAAAGCAUAAAAUGUAUAAGUAUGGACGUAGGGAUUAAUGAUUUUGUUUAUAAUAUAAAAUUAAAAUACAUGAGUUUAUGCGCAUAAAAGGUUUAAAGUUUUGAAUAUGAAAGGAAAAAGAGAACGAGUGACACGCGUGAGAUUGUUGUGAGAUAUUGACUAAAACGUGUAAAAUGAUAUACAUAUAUAGUUGUUUGUGCAAAACGUGAAGUUAAAUUAGAUUGAGUUGUCAGGAAUGUAGAAUCUAGUUUGUGAAUUGUAAAGAGAAUAUAAAGGAAAACAUCUUUUGAUUAUGCGAAAGGAUACUUUGUAAAAGAAUGGAAUUUCCUUGCCCACGUGUUUUGAAUUUAAUUAACGUAUCAAGCGAGGUUUUGAAAAGUUCUUCGAAUUAAAAAGUUUGCAUCGUUUUAAGAAGUUUUUU